CCUCUAAACCACGCCCUUCAGGGGGAAAAAUGCCAAAACUCGCAAUCGAAAAGACUGUCAGUGAAAGCAAAGAAACAGACAUCGAAAGCAAAUAUACGAGUAGCGUAACCAAAAGAUUACACAGCUUCUAUCAGUUGCACCUUACUGGCGGCAUAAUUUCAGCUUCUGAGGGACAACUACGACACCGUCCUCACAGCCAAGAACAAGAUCUGGAUCCAAAAUUAUGCUUUGACUUCAACUCAAGCUGAGCUACAGAAAAUUAAUAGCUAUGAAGGCUGUGGUUAAGGACCAACUGGAGAGAGACUACAUGUAACUUGUCACGUCCAAGUACCAGUCAGAGAGGCAACACAGAGACCUUGCUGCUUCUCAUAACCAAUUAGAAAGAGAGUAUGAAGGCCUACUGACAUCCAACAACAAAUUGCAAAAAAAAACUAUAGACCUGACAGCAUCUAAAAACAACUACAGAGAGAGCUAAAAGAUCUCACACGAACCAGGGAACGGUCACAGAGACAACACCUGAACAUCAGUGCAGCUUAACGCCUCGAUCACACCAACGCGUCAUUGCAUUUUGGUACACCAGAAGUACAUUCAUUUCCAAUGGAAUGCUGCGUUUGCCUUCCAGCAUUGUAGAGGCAGUUGUAGUGCGUUUUGUGUGGUACAUACGGUGGAUUUAUCCAAUACAUGCAUCAAACUGUAAGCCUAGACGGCUCGAGAGAAAUGGUAGCAGGAGGUAAAUGUUGAUCUUUUGUUGCAAACAUAUCCAGAUGAUGCUGCGUACCAUUUUGCACAAACACACUGUUUGUGUGAUCAAAGCAUUAUGACCAGUUGAGGUGAGAGCAUGUGAGGGUCGCAGAGACUAAAAACCAACUUCAGUUAGAUCUCAUAAGUUUCUCUGAAACUGAGGCAAUUUUGAACAGAGACUUUGUUGUCACGGUGAGGGAUAGGGAUCCCCUUCAGAAGAUGCCUACAGAGCUGGUCAACUUCCUGCCUGUGGACCGACACUGUCCACUCAGAGACCAGCUCACCCAUGGUCAGCAGUGUCUUGAUUUAUCUGUCCUCCUUCUAUAUCUAUGCACUAUAUACUGUGUGUUUGUGCAAUGUGCAUGAAUAUGUUCUUGUGUAUGUGUGUUUCUGUAUGUUUGAGCAUGUGGGUGUGCAAUGUGCAUGAAUGUGUUCUUAUGUGUGUCUGUGCGCGUGUGUAAGUGUUUGUGUACAUAAUCGCCUCACACACCUUGUCUUAAGGGCUGGAAGAUUCUCUCCUCCAGGUGUUACUUCUUCUCCACUGAGAGGAGGAGCUGAAGCAGCGGUCGGGUCGACUGUGUUCAACAGGGCGGAGAUCUGGUGGUCAUUAGUCCAGAGGAACAGGUAGAAAGAGUGCUGUGAGGGGAGAGAGUGUGUGCCUCCACCCUCAGAGAGACCAACCCUUCUCGGAGCUGGAGAGAAGAGACCUGCAGCAUCAUGUCUGGAUGGAUCUGUGAGAGCCCAGCGCUCAUACGAAACGUCUGGCCAAGGUGCAUUGGGAAAGGAUAGCCAGCUAGCUUGUUAACAAUGGCAACCAUGCGUCGUCCAAGGUACUCUCUCCGAGACUCUCUGUACUGGGAUGAGACUGAGUGCCUGACGUACUAUAGGAUGCUCUCUCUACACGAGAUGUUUGAAGUUGUCGGUUCUCAACUGACUGAGACAGACGUUGAGGUGCUGUCGUUCCUCUUGGAUGAGACCUAUCCGGCUGGAGGGCACCCCUUGGACCCAGCUGGCUGGACCAGCGAGCCCAGUGAGGAAGACCCUGAGGCCAGUAAAGGAGUCUCCCCCAGCCCAGUGCUCCUGGAGGCCUGGCGGCGGUUACAGCCCAAGGUUCCUGCUUUGGCCUGCCCUACCGCUGCCCGCCACAAGCCCAAGAGUGGGCUAGAACUGCUGCUGGAGCUGGAGAGACGUGGGUACCUCAGUGAGGGUAACCUGGAGCCCCUGUUGCAGCUGCUGCGAGUCCUGACGCGACACGACCUCCUGCCUUUGGUGUCCCGCAAGAAAAGGAGGACAGUAUCACCAGAACGUUUCAGAGUGGACUACGGGACAGAGGACAAAAGACAGGUGUGCACAUCUGGACUGACUGACCCCUGUGCACAGACAGAAUCACAUGACGAACACGCCACCCAGCAAUGGAGGGGGGGUGUUGACUCUGCCAGGCCAACGCCUGCCCCCCUACGGAAGAAGAGGGGUAAAGGCCGCCGUUGGAGCAGCAAGCCCACCUCCCACAGGAGAAGAAUAGGAAUCCCUGAAACUCCUCCCCCACCUAUACCUGAGAAAGUGACCUGCGACAUUCGUCUGCGUGUGCGAGCAGAAUACUGGGAACAUGAGUCGGCUCUGCGCGGCGGCGUCUCCUCGGACAAGCAGCAGCCCCUGGAGCGGCAGUUUGAGCUGUUCAGUCGUGCCACCUCCGUGCUGCGCGCCCGCGACCUGGGCUCCAUCAUCUGCGACAUCAAGUUUUCUGAGCUGGACAACCUGGAGGCCUUCUGGGGGGACUAUUUGAGUGGAGCGCUGCUAGAGGCCCUGAAGGGGGUGUUCAUCACAGACUCUCUGCGGAGGGCGGCAGGGAGAGAGGGGGUCCGGCUGCUGAUCAGUGUGGACCAGGAUGACUACGAGGAGGGUCGCAGACUGCUGCUGGACGCACAGGAACAACAGGCCGGCUGCUGGGGACGAGACGGGCAUCAGAGCCAUAUACACUACCUGGUCUCACGUUGUCAUACUCCCUAGACCCAACCUGAGAAAGCUGGUUAUGGACGUUCGGCUCUGACAGACAGACAGGCAGCUGUGCGAGGUCAUGAGCCCAAGGAUAGAGGAAUGAAAAGGAGAAUAAAAUAUGAAGAGGAACAUUUUUCUCUCCUUUUUAAGUUUCUCAUGCUGAGAAUAGAGGAUACAGCCACUCCUAGGUCAGGGGAAUGAAUAGUCCCCAGGGAAAACAGCCAAACUUGAAGUGAAGGCAAACUGGACUAAGACUUGACACACUGUUCUGUUUGGAAUUGAUAACACAAGUUGCACUGAGCCUAGAUGCCCUCACGGCACUGAGGAAGAGACCGCCUCUGAGACACACACACACACACAUAUACACACACACACACACACACACACAGAGAAACUAAACUUCCACUGUAACACACACAAACUACCACUGUAUCUAACAUACACGCUCUGUAAAAUCAUCUACACGAUGAACCAUCAGCGCUGCCUGUAAGACUCAUUGAAGCCAAGAGACAUUUCUUGCUAACAGUGACAGCCCAGAUACCAACUAGACUGUGCGCUAAUGCUGAGCAUCUCUGGUUAUGUUUGAGGAGCGUGUGAGAUGCCCUGCAAGGCGAACUUCACCCGCCUAAAUAUUAGUUUGCGUUUCCAUUGAAAUGUAUGAUUUUGAAAAGAUGACCGAGACUGCAGCUCUCAGAGAUGAUGGGGAAAUUACUAAAGCAUGAGAUUAUGUUUUUACCUUUUGGGAGAGAAUUUGAAAUAGAUGGCAAAGUGAAGACUACCUGAGGACAGUGUAGUGGACAAAUCGCUGGUCCUUCGAGAACUCGUCCACACACACACACAUCAUGAUCACAAGCCACUGGUAGUCCAAUCACUGUGCCAUGCUAACCCAGGGCCUGAUAGCUGUGGUCAGUGGCCAUCUCAUCUCAGAUGAUUGGAGUGAUUACCUCUCAUCCUCAGCCAACCAUGGAGAACUCAUCACAUCACCACAAGUUGUUGAACAGCAGCUGGGAUAACACACUAGGCUGUGCUCACCCCGGCUUCCAGCAAGGCAAGGCCACUGCCUUUCCCAUUGGAACUGAAGCACAAGACAGUGCAUCAGUCAAUAAAACUGAUGUGGAGGAGAUCAAAAUCAGAAGGAUACAUCCUAGUUCCACUCAGCCCUGACUUGUAGGCCCCACUGGUGGCUCACAGAGUGCUGUCUGUCUCUAGUCUAGUCACCCUGGUGGAACUAAUGCCUGAACUCCUCUGAGUGGGAUCAAUAACCCCCUCUGUCACUCCACCACCACCAUGGGAGGAGAAGGAGUAAGGGGGAGAAGGGGAAAGAGAGGAAGAGGGAGAAGGAUCCCCACCUCCAUCCCGCCUUUCAGCUCCUGGACAGCCGCCUCAUCCUCUGGAGGAUAAGUCCCCUGAUACAACCAGGCUUCCUGGUCUGCUACAGCACUGUGUCUGGUUCACACAGCCCUAUGGGACCAGAGAUGGAGGACUAGAGGCACUCAGGAAAACCUUAGUAGUGUUUGCUUUUUCUGUGUUUUGGUAUAUGGAUUCGUUAGUGUAGCUUUGUAUGGUUCAUAAGAGAAAAUAACAAAAAUACUGUGUGUUCUAGUUCAUUAACUUAGGGUGAACUUUUGUUUAAGUAUCUGGAUAUUUUUAUUUAGGCACUGCAAAAGUGCUGUAUAUUAGUUUAAUAUAUUAGUGGAAAGUUGGAAUUAUUUCAAAUAAAAAUAAAUGAUUUAUCAAAGGUUUAUUGCGUCUAUGAUGUACCCAUGCCUUCAGAACAUAUUCACACCCCUUGACUUUUUCCAUAUUUUGUUCUUACAACCUGAAUUUUACAUGUAUUAAUUAAAUUGAGAUGUGUCACUGGCCUACACACAAUACCCCAUAAUGUCAAAGUGGGAUAAUGUAUUCAAAAUUAAAAGCGGAAAUGUAUUGUC